rnacentral:rRNA from 1 species
UACGGAGGGUGCAAGCGUUAUCCGGAAUCACUGGGUUUAAAGGGUGCGUAGGCGGCUUUGUAAGUCAGUUGUGAAAUACCUCGGCUUAACCGAAGGAAGUGCGAUUGAUACUGCGUAGCUUGAAUCAAGUUGAGGUAGGCGGAAUGUGACAUGUAGCGGUGAAAUGCUUAGAUAUGUCAUAGAACACCGAUUGCGAAGGCAGCUUACUGGGCUUUGAUUGACGCUGAGGCACGAAAGCGUGGGGAGCAAACAGG